UGAGAGAAAGCUCGGAGUUUCAUGCAUUUCAAGCAUUUACUCUUCCAUUGCCUCACUGUAAAAUUCCAUGAUCCUUUUAAGAAAAUUAACUCUGGAUUUUGGAUCCCAAAGAAAUUUAGAAAAUUUUUGGUCAAUAAAAGAUAGGGUGUGGUCCCUAACAUUUACCCUGUCCAUAAACUGCUGGGAUACAUGAAGGUACGGGUUCUACAGAUUCAGAACUACAGCAUCUCCAUGACAACAGGAUAUCUGAGAGGAGUCACAGUAAGGUUCCAGUAUUGAUGGCGUAACAGAAGCCAGAGGACAAAGGAAAGAUGGUGGAGAACAUUGUGACACACUACAGCUUUCACAGCCAGAGGCGUUGGUUAGGUGAAAGGCAGGUUUUGUUCUGUUGUCUGCCUUCCUUCUGUGACUGAAGAUCUUGUGCAUCUAAACCCACCAAAACUCAUCCCAUUCUUACCACCAGUAAGGAACUUAGCCAUGAGCUUUCAAGCCACCUAAUUCUGGUCCUCCAGACAGAAAGAGAACCACUCGGAAGCUUCCAGGAAAUGUUCUUUUUCUCAAAUGAAGGCACCAUGCAGGAAGAGCUACAGUGGGCAAGAGAGCUCCAUGGAGAGGCCCACUGCCUUACUCUGCUGCAGUGGGUGUGCUCUGGUGAGGUGGGGCCCCAAAGACCUCAUCCCAGGACUGCUUCUUGCUGCUGCUGUCUGCACUGCCACACUCCUCAUUUAUUUGGCUUGGUGUGAGUGGACACCAGGAGACCCUCACUGCCUAUAGCAUGGUGUGAUUACUUCCUUGGCUAGCCUAGACCUCACUGUGUAGUGAGGCUGGCCUCAAACUCACAGACAUCUGCCUGCUUCUGCCUGACUCCUUGUCCUGUUUCUAAAUAAGAAGACUUCAUUUAAAUUGACAAGCCAGUGACAUACAUCGAAUGGACCACCUGUCCAUCCUGACCUUUUCUUCUCAACAAAGACUUUACUUUUAGUUAAGGAUUCUGAGGGAAGUUAAAAGAGAGAAAAAACAAUCCACAGAAUAUAAAUACAAAAGUAAAGAGAAGAAAAUCUGUACAGAACAACUAUGAAAACAAGAGAAAACAGUUAAUAAAAGUGCAGUGGCAAAGCCUCUCUAUC
ensembl:lncRNA LOC120095606 uncharacterized LOC120095606